GACGAACGCUGGCGGCGUGCUUAACACAUGCAAGUCGAACGAGUGGAGAACGGGUGCGUACCACGUGGGUGAUCUGCCUUGCACUUCGGGAUAAGCUUGGGAAACUGUGUCUAAUACCGGAUAGUGCAAGCUUAUCUCGCGGCCUAUAAGCUUGUUGGUGGGGUAAUGGCUACCAAGGCGGGACGGGUAGCCGGCCUGCGGGGGUGUACGGCAACAUUGGGACUGAGAGACGGCCCAGACGCGUACGGGAGGCAGCAGUCGGGAAUAUGGCCGAAUGGGCGGAAGCGUGAUGCAGCGAUGCCGGGUGGGGGAUGAAGGGCUUCGGGAUGUAAACUCCUUUCGACGGGGACGCGGUAUCUGAACAAGAAGCACCGGCUAACUACGUGCCAGCAGCCGCGGUAAUUC
rnacentral:rRNA from 1 species